rnacentral:rRNA from 1 species
ACAGAUCGUUCAGAGUUUGAUCCUGGCUCAGGAUGAACGCUAGCUACAGGCUUAACACAUGCAAGUCGAGGGUCUUUUUUAGCUUGCUUUAAAAGACGACCGGCGCACGGGUGAGUAACGCGUAUCCAACCUGCCAUUCAUAUUGGGAUAGCCUUUCGAAAGAGAGAUUAAUACCGAAUAACAUACUGAGUUUGCAUGAAAACAGUAUGAAAGCUGAGGCGAUGAAUGAUGGGGAUGCGUUCCAUUAGGUAGUAGGCGGGGUAACGGCCCACCUAGCCAACGAUGGAUAGGGGUUCUGAGAGGAAGGUCCCCCACACUGGAACUGAGACACGGUCCAG